AUCAUUGCCAUGGAGACCGGAAGUUGAGCAUCUUCAAAGUGAGGCUGGAGGUGCGUCAAGGACAGUCCUAAGAAUGGGAGGCCAGGGAAUAGCCUGCAGGUGGAGGUGAAGAGGCCCGGGCUUGGCAGAGGGCAGGAUGUGGAGCUGGACCGAAGUCACGGGGCUGAGUUCCACGGACUGUUCUAUCCAUUCAGGGCCUUCAGCCUCUUCCUCUCAGGCAGGAGGUGAGAUGGCCUGAGGCCAGAGGAGCAGCCAUCAACAAAAGAUGAGCCUCAAGGCCGAGAGGGGAGCAAGGGAGUAGAAAUUCACUUGAGGCUCGAUGUCUGAGCUCCAGUUCUCAGCAUGGGGACCAGCUCUUGUGUUUCAAACUCAGACCUGCUGUGUGUGGUUGAGGGUUUUGGUGGCAAAUCUAUCCCAGAGCCCUGCAGGGUCCUCCUCAAUCCUGCCUCUCAGAUUCCCGGAUGUGCUGCCUGACCCUUCAUGCCUGAUGCAAAUAGGACAUGGCCUCACCCAGGCCUUGUCUGCUGAGUGGGACACCUGAGGGUCCCAUUUCUUCCUCCCCUGUUUUCUUAGUCUGCAUCCCCCUCCUGUACCACAGUCCUUCCUCUGGAUGCCACCUGGGCCUGGUGGGGACCCCCAUCUUUCCUCGCCAUUUGAAACAGACUCACAGUGGUGUUUUCAGACGCCAGUAGCCGCAGCCCUUUUGUUGAAAUGAGGCACAAAUUCAAUGACCAUUUUGGAAAAACUUUAUAUCAUGUUUAUUUCUUCAGUUUAUCUGUGAAUAUUUAUUUAAAAAUGACCGAUCAAUGUAACCACAUAAAAAGAUAAAUUAAAUAUCACCAAUAUCUUCAUCAGGACAAUGCCCCUGAUUCUUCAUUUACUCUGGAAAACUAUAGAAUUUUGAUCACCCAUGGAACUGGGUCAAUAUGUUGUAAAUGUCCGAAUGG
rnacentral:lncRNA from 1 species